rnacentral:rRNA from 1 species
AACGAACGCUGGCGGCAUGCCUAACACAUGCAAGUCGAACGAAGCCUUCGGGCUUAGUGGCGCACGGGUGCGUAACGCGUGGGAAUCUGCCCUUUGGUUCGGAAUAACAGUUGGAAACGACUGCUAAUACCGGAUGAUGACGAAAGUCCAAAGAUUUAUCGCCAGAGGAUGAGCCCGCGUAGGAUUAGCUAGUUGGUGUGGUAAAGGCGCACCAAGGCGACGAUCCUUAGCUGGUCUGAGAGGAUGAUCAGCCACACUGGGACUGAGACACGGCCCAGACUCCUAGGUGAGGCAGCGGGGGUGAAUAUUGGACAAUGGGCGAAAGCCUGAUCCAGCAAUGCCGCGUGAGUGAUGAAGGCCCUAGGGUUGUAAAGCUCUUUUACCCGGGAUGAUAAUGACAGUACCGGGCGAAUAAGCCCCGGCUAACUCCGUACCAGCAGCCGCCGUAA